rnacentral:rRNA from 2 species
GCUAUACAUGCAAGUCGACGCGUUGGCCCAAUUGAUUGAUGGUGCUUGCACCUGAUUGAUUUUGGUCGCCAACGAGUGGCGGACGGGUGAGUAACACGUAGGUAACCUGCCCAGAAGCGGGGGACAACAUUUGGAAACAGAUGCUAAUACCGCAUAACAACGUUGUUCGCAUGAACAACGCUUAAAAGAUGGCUUCUCGCUAUCACUUCUGGAUGGACCUGCGGUGCAUUAGCUUGUUGGUGGGGUAACGGCCUACCAAGGCGAUGAUGCAUAGCCGAGUUGAGAGACUGAUCGGCCACAAUGGGACUGAGACACGGCCCAUACUCCUACGGGAGGCAGCAGUAGGGAAUCUUCCACAAUGGGCGCAAGCCUGAUGGAGCAACACCGCGUGAGUGAAGAAGGGUUUCGGCUCGUAAAGCUCUGUUGUUAAAGAAGAACACGUAUGAGAGUAACUGUUCAUACGUUGACGGUAUUUAACCAGAAAGUCACGGCUAACUACGUGCCAGCAGCCGCGGUAAUACGUAGGUGGCAAGCGUUAUCCGGAUUUAUUGGGCGUAAAGAGAGUGCAGGCGGUUUUCUAAGUCUGAUGUGAAAGCCUUCGGCUUAACCGGAGAAGUGCAUCGGAAACUGGAUAACUUGAGUGCAGAAGAGGGUAGUGGAACUCCAUGUGUAGCGGUGGAAUGCGUAGAUAUAUGGAAGAACACCAGUGGCGAAGGCGGCUAUCUGGUCUGCAACUGACGCUGAGACUCGAAAGCAUGGGUAGCGAACAUGAUUAGAUACCCUGGUAGUCCAUGCCGUAAACGAUGAGUGCUAGGUGUUGGAGGGUUUCCGCCCUUCAGUGCCGGAGCUAACGCAUUAAGCACUCCGCCUGGGGAGUACGACCGCAAGGUUGAAACUCAAAGGAAUUGACGGGGGCCCGCACAAGCGGUGGAGCAUGUGGUUUAAUUCGAAGCUACGCGAAGAACCUUACCAGGUCUUGACAUCUUG